AAGGGCACCACAAGAACGCGUGGAGCAUGUGGCUUAAUUUGACUCAACGCGGGAAAUCUUACCGGGUCCGGACACACUGAGGAUUGACAGGCAAUAUUAAUAUAUACUUUCUCGCACUCUCGAGUGUGCUGUAAAGUCAUAUAUUAUGUUAAAUAUGCUAGUCCUUUCAUGAUUAUGUGAUAGGUGGUGCAUGGCCGUUCUUAGUUCGUGGAGUGAUCUGUCUGCUUAAUUGCGUUUCACUAAGGGCCUAUACAAUUACGUAUGUUGUUAUUGCACUUUGACCCCUCCUUCGCGGGUGCGUGUGUCUUUGACUGCUUCAACUCAUACAAUUAGGUCCUGAAAGCAACGAACGUGACCGCAACCUCUUGUUGCUUUCGUAUACCCUUAUAACACAGUUAUAUUUUUAUUUUAUGCUUUACCGCAUAUAUACUAAUUUGCUGUGCAAGAAAGCUUUUUAAACUAGAGGGACCGCUGUUAUCUUCUUAAACCAGAGGAAGGUUGCGGCAAUAACAGGUCUGUGAUGCCCUUAGAUGUUCCGGGCUGCACACGUGCUACAAUGAUUAUUGCAGUGAGCAUCUCAUUUAUUAUACACCGCAUGCGCGAGUCCAUUUAUUCAUUUUACCUUCGGGUUAUGCUUUAAAUGUGUAUCUCUGCGCGCGGUAAAGCCUGCUUCGAAAGUAAGUGGGUAAUCAAUUAGAAGUAAUGAUUUCCUUUUUUUUCUGCACACAUAUAUACGGCAGCUAUACCCGGGUAACCUUGUUGUUACUUUUGUGCGUAUAGUUGUACCCUUUUUCCGUAUGUGCGAUUGUCAAUUCAUGGUGGGGACAGACCAUUGUUAAUUGUUGGUCUCGGUCUUAACUAGGAAUGCCUUGUACGGGUCUUUGGUUCAACAAACCACCCGGAAUACGUCCCUGCCCUUUGUACACACCGCCCGUCGCUCUUACCGAUGGACUUCUCUGUGAGUUUGAGGGACUGGGAACGCAUUGCGCGUAUAUUUCAUAUGCGCUCUGCACACCUAUGGAAACUUAAACGAACAGUGUGGUCUAAAGGAAAGAGAAGUCGUAACAAGGCAUCAGUAGGUGAAGCUGCAGAAGGAUCA
rnacentral:rRNA from 1 species